rnacentral:rRNA from 1 species
GACGAACGCUGGCGGCGUGCUUAACACAUGCAAGUCGAACGGAAAGGCCCUGCUUUUGUGGGGUGCUCGAGUGGCGAACGGGUGAGUAACACGUGAGUAACCUGCCCUUGACUUUGGGAUAACUUCAGGAAACUGGGGCUAAUACCGGAUAGGAGCUCCUGCUGCAUGGUGGGGGUUGGAAAGUUUCGGCGGUUGGGGAUGGACUCGCGGCUUAUCAGCUUGUUGGUGGGGUAGUGGCUUACCAAGGCUUUGACGGGUAGCCGGCCUGAGAGGGUGACCGGCCACAUUGGGACUGAGAUACGGCCCAGACUCCUACGGGAGGCAGCAGUGGGGAAUAUUGCACAAUGGGCGGAAGCCUGAUGCAGCAACGCCGCGUGCGGGAUGACGGCCUUCGGGUUGUAAACCGCUUUCGCCUGUGACGAAGCGUGAGUGACGGUAAUGGGUAAAGAAGCACCGGCUAACUACGUGCCAGCAGCCGCGGUGAUACGUAGGGUGCGAGCGUUGUCCGGGUUUAUUGGGCGUAAAGGGCUCGUAGGUGGUUGAUCGCGUCGGAAGUGUAAUCUUGGGGCUUAACCCUGAGCGUGCUUUCGAUACGGGUUGACUUGAGGAAGGUAGGGGAGAAUGAAAUUCCUGGUGGAGCGGUGGAAUGCGCAGAUAUCAGGAGGAACACCAGUGGCGAAGGCGGUUCUCUGGGCCUUUCCUGACGCUGAGGAGCGAAAGCGUGGGGAGCGAACAGGCUUAGAUACCCUGGUAGUCCACGCUGUAAACGGUGGGUACUAGGUGUGGGGUCCAUUCCACGGGUUCCGUGCCGUAGCUAACGCUUUAAGUACCCCGCCUGGGGAGUACGGCCGCAAGGCUAAAACUCAAAGGAAUUGACGGGGCCCCGCACAAGCGGCGGAGCAUGCGGAUUAAUUCGAUGCAACGCGUAGAACCUUACCUGGGUUUGACAUGGAUCGGGAGUGCUCAGAGAUGGGUGUGCCUCUUUUGGGGUCGGUUCACAGGUGGUGCAUGGCUGUCGUCAGCUCGUGUCGUGAGAUGUUGGGUUAAGUCCCGCAACGAGCGCAACCCUUGUUCACUGUUGCCAGCACGUUAUGGUGGGGACUCAGUGGAGACCGCCGGGGUCAACUCGGAGGAAGGUGGGGAUGACGUCAAGUCAUCAUGCCCCUUAUGUCCAGGGCUUCACGCAUGCUACAAUGGCUGGUACAGAGAGUGGCGAGCCUGUGAGGGUGAGCGAAUCUCGGAAAGCCGGUCUCAGUUCGGAUUGGGGUCUGCAACUCGACCUCAUGAAGUCGGAGUCGCUAGUAAUCGCAGAUCAGCAACGCUGCGGUGAAUACGUUCCCGGGGCU